GACGAACGCUGGCGGCGUGCUUAACACAUGCAAGUCGAACGGAAAGGCCCUGCUUUUGUGGGGUGCUCGAGUGGCGAACGGGUGAGUAACACGUGAGUAACCUGCCCUUGACUUUGGGAUAACUUCAGGAAACUGGGGCUAAUACCGGAUAGGAGCUCCUGCUGCAUGGUGGGGGUUGGAAAGGUUCGGCGGUUGGGGAUGGACUCGCGGCUUAUCAGCUUGUUGGUGGGGUAGUGGCUUACCAAGGCUUUGACGGGUAGCCGGCCUGAGAGGGUGACCGGCCACAUUGGGACUGAGAUACGGACCAGACUCCAACGGGAGGCAGCAGUGGGGAGUAUUGCACAAUGGGCGGAAGCCUGAUGCAGCAACGCCGCGUGCGGGAUGACGGCCUUCGGGUUGUAAACCGCUUUCGCCUGUGACGAAGCGUGAGUGACGGUAAUGGGUAAAGAAGCACCGGCUAACUACGUG
rnacentral:rRNA from 1 species